AUUAGGAGUUGAAACUUAGAACAAGAGAGU
rnacentral:piRNA from 1 species